AGUCGAGGGGCAGCAUUUUAGUUUGCUUGCAAACUGAAGAUGGCGACCGGCGCACGGGUGAGUAACACGUAUCCAACCUGCCGAUAACUCCGGAAUAGCCUUUCGAAAGAAAGAUUAAUACCGGAUAGUAUACGAAUAUCGCAUGAUAUUUUUAUUAAAGAAUUUCGGUUAUCGAUGGGGAUGCGUUCCAUUAGUUUGUUGGCGGGGUAACGGCCCACCAAGACUACGAUGGAUAGGGGUUCUGAGAGGAAGGUCCCCCACAUUGGAACUGAGACACGGUCCAAACUCCUACGGGAGGCAGCAGUGAGGAAUAUUGGUCAAUGGGCGCGGGCCUGAACCAGCCAAGUAGCGUGAAGGAUGAAGGCUCUAUGGGUCGUAAACUUCUUUUAUAUGGGAAUAAAGUUUUCCACGUGUGGAAUUUUGUAUGUACCAUAUGAAUAAGGAUCGGCUAACUCCGUGCCAGCAGCCGCGGUAAUACGGAGGAUCCGAGCGUUAUCCGGAUUUAUUGGGUUUAAAGGGAGCGUAGGUGGAUUGUUAAGUCAGUUGUGAAAGUUUGCGGCUCAACCGUAAAAUUGCAGUUGAAACUGGCAGUCUUGAGUACAGUAGAGGUGGGCGGAAUUCGUGGUGUAGCGGUGAAAUGCUUAGAUAUCACGAAGAACUCCGAUUGCGAAGGCAGCUCACUAGACUGUUACUGACACUGAUGCUCGAAAGUGUGGGUAUCAAACAGGAUUAGAUACCCUGGUAGUCCACACAGUAAACGAUGAAUACUCGCUGUUUGCGAUAUACAGUAAGCGGCCAAGCGAAAGCAUUAAGUA
rnacentral:rRNA from 1 species